rnacentral:lncRNA from 1 species
CUGCUUCAAGAGAGGGAACUUUAAUCCUGUAAGACCCUGGCAAGUGCCGACGGUCCAGACUCUAGGAAGCAGUGGGCUUAGAUUUUUUCCCAUUAUAAAGCCAAUAUUCAACAGUACAUGAAGAACAUGAAGUACAUAUUAACGCUGAAGCCACUUUGAAGAAGAUCAGAUGUCAUCUAGAGCUUGUCCCUCACCACUUAAUUUUCAAAAAAAUCUAAGGAUACUUUAUCUAAUAUCUCAUGAUACCUUAUCAAAUCAAAUGUACUCAUUUUCGAUCCUCGUAGUAUGAGACAGUAAUCAACAACUACUACUCAAAAUUCGCCUUCCAUGGCUUUGGUGAUUUUCCUUAUUCUCCAUUUAUUUCUCUCAUUAUUCAUAUCACCUUUAUAGACCUUUUUCUUCCUCCUUUCUUCCUUCCUUCCACUUUAUUGGUGAGGAUCUUCCUCAAGACACUGUCCUUCAUCAUCUGGUAUUUACUCUUGACACUGAAAGCCUUUCCUAAGUAUAUCAUCUAUCCAUGGUAGCCUCUACACUCUUUGCUUUUGCUCCUGCUGUUUUAUUUGCUAGUAGGGGAUAGGAUGGGAUGGGAUAAGAUGGAAUGGAUGGGAUAGAAUAGGAUAAGAUGAGGUAGGACGGUGUGGGAUAGCAUGAGAUAAGAUGAGAUGACCAUUUUAAGUAACUAAAAGGAUAUAAUCACAUGGAAGGAGGAUGGAAGUUUAUUUGUUUGGGCCAUGAAGGAAGGACUAGGCCAAAUGGGUGGAAAUUGCAAGAGGCAAAUGGACAUUAUGGUGUAAACAGAACCCAUACAAUCAAAAUUACAAGGAAAAUAGAAAACCAGGGAAAAUUUUUGCAACAAAUAUCUCUUAUAAAGACCUCAAAUUUCUCAAAUAUGUAAAGAAUUGAGUUAAAUUUGUAAAAAUACAAGUCGGUCCCCAAUUGAUAAAUGGUCAAAGGAUAUCAACAGUCAGUUGUCAGACAAAGAAUUCCAAGCUAUCUAUAGUCAUAUGAAAAUGCUCUAAAUCACAGUUGAUUAGAGAAAUGC